GUAGCAUCAAUACCUGCUUCAAAUGCACCUACUGAAGCAUCAAUUACAAGAAUUGCUGCAUCUGCUUGUGUUGCCCCUGAUAUCAUAUUUGGGACAAAGUCCCUGUGACCUGGGGAAUCAAGCAGAACAACACGGUAACAUUUCGUGUUAAAGUAGGCAACGCCCACUGUCAUAGUUAUUCCCCUCUCUCUUUCUUCAGCACUCACAUCCAAUGCCCAAGCGUAACCAGACGACCCUUUUCCCUGAUUAAAUAGACUGGUAACGUUUUGUGUUAAAGUAGGCGACGCCCACUGUCAUAGUUAUUCCCCUCUCUCUUUCUUCAGCACUCUCAUCUAAUGCCCAAGCAUAAGCAAACGAGCCUUUUCCCUGAUUAAAUAGACAAUAGACUUUUCAAUAAACUUGUAAAGAUUUGAAAGUAUCGUACAAAAAGGAUGAAGAUAUUCACUUG
rnacentral:lncRNA from 1 species